AUCAACCUGACGAGUCCUAAAUAGGACGAAAUGUGUGUUAUCCUGGUGGAU
rnacentral:hammerhead_ribozyme from 1 species